UUCCCUCUCCCUUCGAGGAUGCCACAAUCAAGGCAGAGAAUAAACAGAAGAGGGAGGCAGAGGCUCUAGCAGCACGCAAGAAGUGUCGUCUGGCAAUGAAGAGGGAGAAGAAGGCCGAGCGUAUGGCUCACGCAGGGCCAGGGAGGAGUAUCUCCCCCUACACCAACAAGGAGGAUAAGACCUCCAUGGCCUCUAGUGGAUCUGUGGUCCUGGUGUUGGUGGGGGCCUCAGCUCACCGCGCUGGUGCCACUGCUGAGGCUAGCUCCAACGCUCCGAUCUAGGAGGAGGAACCAACGGUGGAGCCCCUGCGCUUGUGGCGCCGGUUGAGCAUCGCGAUGGGGGAGGGUAACCUGCGGCAGCGUCCUCUGUGCCUGAUGCGUUGACUGGGCGCCAUGAAGGAGGACCACCACAAGCUUCUUUAGGGACGAUUACUUUGUCAUAGAAGAUCCCCUUCAGGCGGGCGCAUUCCUCCAAGUAAGCCAUGUCCCUUUACAAGGUUUUUCAUCCUUGCCUCUAGUUUUUCAUUCGGUUGUCUUGCAAGUGUGUACGUGUCGCAUAAGUCCAUGAAGGACAUAACUCGUAUAGCAAAGGAGGGCACCUCGCCUUCCUAGGCGCUUGUGCCACUACAAGAGCUAUAGUGAUUUUUGGCGGCCAGAAAAAAUUAGCCGAAAAUAAGGCCAUAUUUUCGGCGGCCACCAGCCAGCCGCCGAAAAUUAACUGUUAUUUUUGGUGGCCCUUUGACAGCCGCCAAAAAUUAACAGAUGCCAAAAAUAGUAUUUACUAUUUUUCGGCGACCAGGGAGGCCGCCGAAAAUUAACAAUUUCAG
rnacentral:lncRNA from 7 species